GGCCGCGGGAAUUCGAUUAGUAACACGUGACCAAUCUACCCUCGAGUGGGGGAUAACUCCGGGAAACCGGGGCUAAUACCGCAUAACAUCCUCGGAUCGGAAGAACUGGGGAUCAAAGGAGCAAUUCGCUUGAGGAGGAGGUCGCGGCUGAUUAGCUAGUUGGCGGGGUAAUGGCCCACCAAGGCGAUGAUCGGUAGCCGGCCUGAGAGGGCGCACGGCCACACUGGAACUGAAACACGGUCCAGACUCCUACGGGAGGCAGCAGUGGGGAAUUUUGCGCAAUGGGGGAAACCCUGACGCAGCAACGCCGCGUGGAGGAUGAAGUCCCUUGGGACGUAAACUCCUUUCGACCGGGACGAUAAUGACGGUACCGGUGGAAGAAGCCCCGGCUAACUUCGUG
rnacentral:rRNA from 1 species